ACCUACUCCUGACUUUGAUCAUCAAAACUGAACAACUUACCAAAAAAUCAUUACUAUUGAAAAACUCAACAAUGAUGCUCAAUAUUUACCCAAACUAACUGACACAACCAGGACACAUACAAACAUAUUCACCAAAUCUUACAAUUUCGCAUGCUCAAAGUGAGAUUCAACCAAUCUAUUUUUCUUUUAUUCUUCAAGAGAACGAUACUUGUUUGGAUAGUCGUAAAAAAAAAAAAAUCUAAAUCACCAUAGUAUAUUAUGCUUCUACAUUUUCACUAAAAGGAAGAUGAACAGUGAGUAGUCCUCUUUGAGGUGUCGGACCUGAUGGCCGGACGAGAUCGAGUCAGAGAAGAUGGUGUUUCGAAUCGGCCGUGUCUGUGUCUGUAACUCGGCGGCCUUUUAGUUUGAAAGAAAAUCUCAAUUUUCUUGGCUUCGAAGUUUUACCUCGAAAACUGUGGUUUUGCUGUUGCUAAAAUAAGAAAGAAAACAGAAAAAGUGUAGUCAGUCAUGUGAUAGUUAUCUUCGGCGGGUGGAAAUUGUAUAACUACCCUUCAUUUUCAUGGAUUUAACAAAUACACUUAUCCAUCA